rnacentral:rRNA from 1 species
AGUGAACGCUGGCGGUAGGCCUAACACAUGCAAGUCGAACGGCAGCACAGUAAGAGCUUGCUCUUACGGGUGGCGAGUGGCGUACGGGUGAGGAAUACAUCGGAAUCUACUUUUUCGUGGGGGAUAACGUAGGGAAACCUACGCUAAUACCGCAUACGACCUACGGUUGAAAGCAGGGGAUCUUUGGACCUUGUUCGAUUGAAUGAGCCGCUGUCGGAUUAGCUAGUUGGCGGGGUAAAUGCCCACCAAGGCGACGAUCCGUAGCUGGUCUGAGUGGAUGAUCGCCGGCACUGGUGCGUGGACCCGGUCCUGACUCCUACGGUAGGGACCAGUCUGGAAUAUUGGCCAAUGGGCGCAAGCCUGAUCCAGCCAUACCGCGUGAGUGAAAAAGGCCUUCGGGUUGUAAAGCCCUUUUGUUGGGAGUGAAAAGCAGCAGGUUAAUACCCCGCUGUACUGACGGUACCCAAAAAAUAAGCACCGGCUAACUUCGUG